rnacentral:rRNA from 1 species
AACGAGGGGGACAAGCGUUAUUCGUCAUGACUGGGCGUAAAAGGUUCGUAGACGGUAAAAUAAGUUUCUGGUAAAAAAUUAAAGCCUAACUUUUAAAAUGCCUAAGAAAUACUGUUUUACUUGAGUUUUAAUACAGGAGAAUAUAAUUUUAUUUGUAAAGGUAAAAUUUAACUAUAAAUAAAGGAAUGCCUGUAGUGAAGACGAUUCUCUAGUAAAAACUGACGUUGAGGAACGAAAGUUUGGGUAUCAAACAGG